rnacentral:rRNA from 1 species
UACGUAGGGUGCAAGCGUUAAUCGGAAUUACUGGGCGUAAAGCGUGCGCAGACGGUUGCGUAAGUCAGAUGUGAAAGCCCCGGGCUCAACCUGGGAAUUGCAUUCGAGACUGCGUGGCUAGGGUGCGGAAGAGGGAAGCGGAAUUUCCGGUGUAGCGGUGAAAUGCGUAGAUAUCGGAAGGAACACCAGUGGCGAAAGCGGCUUCCUGGUCCAGCACCGACGUCAGGCACGAAAGCGUGGGGAGCAAACAGG